rnacentral:rRNA from 1 species
UACAGAGGUCUCAAGCGUUGUUCGGAUUCAUUGGGCGUAAAGGGUGCGUAGGCGGCGCGGUAAGUCGGGUGUGAAAUCUCGGGGCUUAACUCCGAAACUGCAUUCGAUACUGCCGUGCUUGAGGACUGGAGAGGAGACUGGGAUUUACGGUGUAGCGGUGAAAUGCGUAGAUAUCGUAAGGAAGACCAGUGGCGAAGGCGGGUCUCUGGACAGUUCCUGACGCUGAGGCACGAAGGCCAGGGGAGCAAACGGG